GAACUCUUCAUGAAACAGCCGGAUGAUUAUAAAAACGAUUGACAAUUGCUGUCAUUGAACGUCAAUACACAGCGCGUCAAUUGCCAUCAAUUAAAAUUUCCAUCAAUGUCCUUCAAUACCGUAGUUGCAAUUGACAAUUGCUUCAAUUCUCUUGAUAAACGAGCAUUUGGCAUUGACAAUGAGCAUCAAUCACGUAAAAAUUGACAAUCGCGAUUGAUCGUCUCGGGGGCUCUUAACGAAAAGCUAGAUGCGCCGCGCCGCUUGUGUGCCCGCACCUCGACACCCCGGCCGCCUUGACUGUGCUGCGGGCACCUGCGGGCACCGUCGCUAUCUCGUGUUAGCUUUGUCGCUGACUGUACGUCUACAAUUGCAGAGAAUACCUACUAGGUAUCUACC